rnacentral:rRNA from 1 species
AAUCAACGCUGGCGGCGUGCCUCAGACAUGCAAGUCGAACGAGAAAGUUCCCUUCGGGGGAUGAGUAAAGUGGCGCACGGGUGAGUAACACGUAGGUAAUCUACCUUCGGGUGGGGAAUAACCCAGGGAAACUUGGGCUAACACCGCAUAAUGCAGCGGCACCACAUGGUGACAGUUGUUAAAGCGGGGGAUUUUAGGACCUCGCGCCUGAAGAGGAGCCUGCGGCGGAUUAGCUAGUUGGAGGGUAACGGCUUACCAAGGCGACGAUCCGUAACCGGCCUGAGAGGGCGGUCGGUCACACUGACACUGACAUACGGGUCAGACUCCUACGGGAGGCAGCAGUCGGGAAUUUUGGGCAAUGGGCGAAAGCCUGACCCAGCAACGCCGCGUGAAGGAUGAAAUCCCUCGGGAUGUAAAC